rnacentral:rRNA from 1 species
UACGAAGGGGGCUAGCGUUGCUCGGAAUCACUGGGCGUAAAGCGCACGUAGGCGGAUUUUUAAGUCGGGGGGUGAAAUCCCGGAGCUCAACUCCGGAACUGCCUUCGAUACUGGAAAUCUUGAGUCCGGGAGAGGUGAGUGGAACUCCGAGUGUAGAGGUGAAAUUCGUAGAUAUUCGGAAGAACACCAGUGGCGAAGGCGGCAUCCUGGACCAACACUGACACUGAGGAGCGAAAGCCAGGGGAGCAAACGGG